UGUCUGGUCCAUACUAUAACAGGGGAUCUGCUGAGGGCCCUGGAGGGCCCAGAGUUGUGCCUGAGGCCCCGCCUCAUCUCUGUGUCCAGCGAGGGCCACUGUAUCAUCUGUUAUGAGAGAGGACGCUUCUGUAACUUCAGCAUCAACGGGAAACUACUGGCUCAGAUGGAGGUCAACGACUCCACACGGGCGAUCCUGUUGAGUAGUGACGGUCAGGAGCCUGGUGACAGGAGGAGACAACGGGGUGGUGGAGGUGGCAGGCCUGUGACUUCAAACAGCUCUACAUCUACCCAGGCUGUGACGCUGGCAUCCGCGCCAUGGACCUGUCUCACGACCAGAGAACUCUGAUCACUGGCAUGGCGUCUGGCAGCAUCGUAGCUUUCAAUAUCGACUUCAACCGCUGGCACUACGAACACCAGAACAGGUACUGACGAGAGGAGGAUGAAGAGGAGGAUGAAGAGGAGGAUGAAGAGGAGGAUGAAGAGGAGGAGAGGAUGGAGAGGAGGAUGGAGAGGAGGAUGAAGAGGAGGAUGAAGAGGAGGAGAGGAUGGAGAGGAGGAUGGAGAGGAGGAUGAAGAGCAGGAUGACGAGGAGGAUGAAGAGGAGGAGAGGAUGGAGAGGAGGAUGAAGAGGAGGAUAGGAGUAGGAUUAAGAGGAGGAUAGGAGGAGGAUGAAGAGGAGGAUGGAGAAGAGGAUGAAGAGGAGAAUAGGAGGAGGAGGAUGAAGAGGAGGAUAGGAGGAGGAGAAGGAGGAGAGGAUGAAGAGGAGGAUAGGAGGAUGAAGAGGAGGAGAGGGGUAUGAAGAGGAGGAUGAUGAGGAGAAUGAAGAUGAUGAUGAAGAGGGGGAGGAGAGGAGGAAGAGGAGGAUAGGAGGAUGAAGAGGAGGAUAGGAGGAUGAAGAGGAGGAUGACAAGGAGGAGAGGGGUAUGAAGAGGAGGAUGAUGAGGAGAAUGAAAAUGAUGAUGAAGAGGGGGAGGAGAGGAUGAAAAAAGAUAGAGGGAAGGAGCAGGUCUUAAAUAGAAGAAAUGGGAAGAGAGGAGGCGAGUUCAGAGGUCACGCGGUACGACCAUGAAGCAACAAGAAGAAAGAGAGGAUGAAAAGGAACGGAAAACCCUUCGAACUUCCUGUGAUGAUGUCACUUGAAAAGGAAGAGAGCCCAGCUACUGUAAGACAUCUUCCAUUUGUGUGCACGUGCACGCUCACGUGCGCUUGCCAUUUCAACCCUUUUACUGCGGCCACGCGACACCCUGAAGGAUCCCUAAUAACGA